GGCGUAGGGCGCGAGCGUUGUCCGGAUUUAUUGGGCGUAAAGAGCUCGUAGGCGGCUUGUCGCGUCGACUGUGAAAACCCGGGGCUCAACCCCGGGCCUGCAUUCGAUACUGCCGGGCUAGAGGUAGGUAGGGGAGAGUGGAAUUCCUGGUGUAGCGGUGAAAUGCGCAGAUAUCAGGAGGAACACCGGUGGCGAAGGCGGCUCUCUGGACCUGUCCUGACGCUCAGGCGCGAAAGCUAGGGGAGCAAACAGG
rnacentral:rRNA from 1 species